AUUGAACGCUGGCGGAAUGCUUUACACAUGCAAGUCGAGCGGCAGCGCGGGGGCAACUCUGGCGGCGAGCGGCGAACGGGUGCGUAACACAUCGGAACAUGUCCAGUUGUGGGGGAUAGCCCGGCGAAAGCCGGAUUAAUACCGCAUGAGCUCUGGCGAGGAAAGCGGGGGACCCGUAAGGGCCUCGCGCGACUGGGUUGGCCGAUGUCCGAUUAGCUAGUUGGUGGGGUAAAGGCCUACCAAGGCGAUGAUCGGUAGCUGGUCUGAGAGGAUGAUCAGCCACACUGGGACUGAGACACGGCCCAGACUCCUACGGGAGGCAGCAGUGGGGAAUUUUGGACAAUGGGGGCAACCCUGAUCCAGCCAUUCCGCGUGAGUGAAGAAGGCCU
rnacentral:rRNA from 1 species